rnacentral:rRNA from 1 species
GACGAACGCUGGCGGCGUGCCUAAUACAUGCAAGUCGAACGCAUUUUCUUUCACCGUAGCUUGCUACACCGAAAGAAAAUGAGUGGCGAACGGGUGAGUAACACGUGGGUAACCUGCCCAUCAGCGGGGGAUAACACUUGGAAACAGGUGCUAAUACCGCAUAAUUCCAUUUACCGCAUGGUAGAUGGGUGAAAGGCGCUUUUGCGCCACUGAUGGAUGGACCCGCGGUGCAUUAGCUAGUUGGUGGGGUAACGGCCUACCAAGGCUGCGAUGCAUAGCCGACCUGAGAGGGUGAUCGGCCACACUGGGACUGAGACACGGCCCAGACUCCUACGGGAGGCAGCAGUAGGGAAUCUUCGGCAAUGGACGCAAGUCUGACCGAGCAACGCCGCGUGAGUGAAGAAGGUUUUCGGAUCGUAAAACUCUGUUGUUAGAGAAGAACAAGGAUGAGAGUGGAAAGUUCAUCCCUUGACGGUAUCUAACCAGAAAGCCACGGCUAACUACGUG